rnacentral:rRNA from 1 species
AACGAACGCUGGCGGCAGGCUUAACACAUGCAAGUCGAACGCACCGCAAGGUGAGUGGCAGACGGGUGAGUAACACGUGGGGAUCUGCCCAAUGGUACGGAAUAGCUCCGGGAAACUGGAAUUAAUACCGUAUGUGCCCUUCGGGGGAAAGAUUUAUCGCCAUUGGAUGAACCCGCGUCGGAUUAGCUAGUUGGUGAGGUAAAGGCUCACCAAGGCGACGAUCCGUAGCUGGUCUGAGAGGAUGAUCAGCCACACUGGGACUGAGACACGGCCCAGACUCCUACGGGAGGCAGCAGUGGGGAAUAUUGGACAAUGGGCGCAAGCCUGAUCCAGCCAUGCCGCGUGAGUGAUGAAGGCCUUAGGGUUGUAAAGCUCUUUCGCCGACGAAGACAAUGACGGUAGUCGGAGAAGAAGCCCCGGCUAACUUCGUGCCAGCAGCCGCAGUAACAC